rnacentral:rRNA from 1 species
AGAGUUUGAUCCUGGCUCAGAACGAACGCUGGCGGCACGCCUAACACAUGCAAGUCGAACGCUAAAUAACCCUCGGGUUAUGGAAAGUGGCGGACGGGUGAGUAACGCGUAGGAACCUGCCCAAAGGUACGGAAUAACUCAGGGAAACUUGUGCUAAUACCGUAUGUACCCUACGGGGGAAAGAUUCAUCGCCUUUGGAUGGGCCUGCGUUAGAUUAGCUAGUUGGUGAGGUAACGGCUCACCAAGGCAACGAUCUAUAGCUGGUCUGAGAGGAUGAUCAGCCACACUGGAACUGAGACACGGUCCAGACUCCUACGGGAGGCAGCAGUGGGGAAUAUUGGACAAUGGGCGAAAGCCUGAUCCAGCGAUGCCGCGUGAGUGAAGAAGGCCUUAGGGUUGUAAAACUCUUUCACCAGGGAAGAUAAUGACGGUACCUGUAAAGAAGCCCCGCUAACU